rnacentral:lncRNA from 1 species
AUCCGAGGCAUAACUGUUAGAGCAACAUUAGACCACCAUUAUCAGGAGGAUUUAAGGAGGAUCUUAUCUAAAUUAACAUUUAAAUUUAAAUCCUAAACAUUAUUAUUUGUAAGAUAAGUAUGUUAUAUAAGAGAUCUUGUGUGAGUUAAGAGACAUCUACGUGGCAUAUUUUUUUUUUUUUUUUAUUAUUAUUUUUUUUUGUAAUCAGCAUAUUUUUAUUGGCUAGACAAAUAUAUGAUAGAGAAAAAAAUAUUAUUCUAUUUUUAGGCUAAAGGAUUUUCUGGAUUUAACCCGGUCAGGCUCAGGUCGGCUCGAAAAAUUCUUAAAAAAUAUAUAUUUUUGAUUUUUUG